rnacentral:pre_miRNA from 1 species
ACAUGAAUCUUCUGAGGAUCUUGUUAAAAUAAAGAUUCUGGUCUAAUAAGUCUGAGGCAGGGCCUGAGACUCUGUACUUCUAGUGAGCCCCCAGGUGAUGUUGAU